rnacentral:tRNA from 1 species
GAGGGUGUAGCUUAGCGGUAGAGCACAUGCUUAGCAUGCAUGAGGUCGUAGGUUAAAACCCAAGUGUCUCCA